CCGGAAUAGCUCAGUUGGUAGAGCAGAGGACUGA
rnacentral:tRNA from 7 species